GACGAACGCUGGCGGCGUGCCUAACACAUGCAAGUCGAGCGGAGAUUCGAGAUGUUUACAUCGAAGGAUCCUUAGCGGCGGACGGGUGAGUAACACGUGGGUAACCUGCCUCAGAGUGGGGGAUAGCCUUUUCGAAAGGAAGAUUAAUACCGCAUAAGAUUGUAGCGUCACAUGGCGCAGCAAGAAAAGGAGCAAUCCGCUUUGAGAUGGACCCGCGGCGCAUUAGCUAGUUGGUGAGGUAACGGCUCACCAAGGCCACGAUGCGUAGCCGACCUGAGAGGGUGAUCGGCCACAUUGGAACUGAGACACGGUCCAGACUCCUACGGGAGGCAGCAGUGGGGAAUAUUGCACAAUGGGCGAAAGCCUGAUGCAGCAACGCCGCGUGAGUGAUGAAGGCCUUCGGGUCGUAAAGCUCUUUGAUCAGGGAUGAUAAUGACAGUACCUGAAAAACAAGCCACGGCUAACUACGUGCCAGCAGCCGCGGUAAUACGUAGGUGGCGAGCGUUGUCCGGAAUUAUUGGGCGUAAAGGAUGCGUAGGUGGAUAUUUAAGUGGGAUGUGAAAUCCCCGGGCUCAACCCGGGAACUGCAUUCCAUACUGGAUGUCUAGAGUGCAGGAGAGGAAAGCGGAAUUCCUAGUGUAGCGGUGAAAUGCGUAGAUAUUAGGAGGAACACCAGUGGCGAAGGCGGCUUUCUGGACUGUAACUGACACUGAGGCAUGAAAGCGUGGGUAGCAAACAGGAUUAGAUACCCUGGUAGUCCACGCCGUAAACGAUGGGUACUAGGUGUAGGAGGUAUCGACCCCUUCUGUGCCGUCGUUAACACAAUAAGUACCCCGCCUGGGGAGUACGGUCGCAAGAAAUA
rnacentral:rRNA from 1 species